GUAUGCUAUGAAGGAAGUGUACCAAGGUGUCAAAUUGAUCUCCCUCAAAUGUGCCCUUUUGUUGCUUCGAAUACGCAUUAUGUGAUGCUCUUAUAUGCUUGGUGGAGCUGUUUUAUGUGUUUUGUUAGCGCAUUGUAGGGUGAAAUUUAGCUUGGCGUUUUUCUAUUGUGAGCUGCGUAAACUUGAAGUGAAGCGAGGAAUCGAGUUGCAUGAAGGCCCCACCUAAGAUGGCUUUCGUUUACAAGAAUAAUUGGAGAUUGUAUGGAAUGCAUGAAGAUGAGAUGAAGAUGAAUCAUUUGAGUUGAAUUAGAUAGUGUUGACCUUGGUCUAUUGACCAAAAAGUAAACCCCACAAAAAUCUUCAAUUUUUGUAAAUAUGUUAUGAACAAUGUGAAUAGAAAUGUAAUGCAAUGACAUGUUGAAUCCAUGCCUUAUUUCCAAAACAAAAUCUUCAAUUUUUGUAAAUAUGUUAGGAAUAAUGUG